AAAUGGUACAUAAGGUAUAAGGUGACU
rnacentral:sRNA from 1 species